GAUUCUCCUGCCUCAGCCCCCAGAGUAGCUGGGAUUACAGGCGCCUGCCACCACACUCGGCUGAUUUUUGUAUUUUUAGUAGAGACAAGCCUGUCUUGAACUCCUGACCUCAGAUGAUCCACCCGCCUCCCAAGGUGCUGGGAUUACAGGUGUAAACCACCGUGCCCGCCCCCCACUCCAUCCUCAUUCUCCAUGUUGCGGUCAUGUAGAGGCUUUUAAGUGCCUGGAGACCCCCAUGCCAGGCAGCACCGUGAGAACGGGAAGUGGGGGGCUGCAUGGAGGGAAGGAGCUAGGGGAGCUGUAGGAUCUCCUAACAGACUGGGGAAGGCCUGGCUUGGACGCCUGGGUCCGCGUCCUUUGUGCGAGGUGCUACAACCGCUGAGUUCCCGUUUAUGAUCUAAUGGGGAGCUUGGAUGUCAGGGGUCCGGUCCCUGCGGCGCGGGAUGGAGAGAAGACCCCAGCAUUCUGGUCUCUGGAGCUCCUUGGAGAGCUGGAUCCUGGUCCCUGAUGGGGGAGAAGUGGGUCUGGACCCCAGAGUCUGGCCUUGUAAGGCGGGUUGGACUUCGAUGGGAAAUCCCAGCCCUGUGGCGGGACAGUGUGCUGAUACCCAGGGGUUCUCUCCGGGAAAGAAAGGGUCUCAAAUUUUGGAUUUGUGUUUCUGGAGAGAGCGCUGACGUUUGAGUCACCACUCGUACAGAGGGCUCGGGUGCAGGGUACACGCCUUGUCCCAAGGGGCUGCUGGGGCACUAGCUGUCUCCCAAAGGGAUGUAGAGACAGUGCUGGGACUCCGGUGUUCCCCUCUUGGGGUGGGAAAGCUCCAAUCUGAGGUUCUCAUUCUGACCCCCGACGUUACAUUGGGGCAAGGGAACUUCGACCCCAGGGUAGCAGGGCCCCCUACCAGGGAAAUGCGAGAGGGGCGGGGCAAGGGGAGGAGACACGGGGCGGGGCUUCGACAGACCCCGCCCCCGCCCGCCAGCGCUGGCCGCGAGUCUCCAAGUCUGCGCUGCCGAGGUGGGCGCCGAGAGCUGGGCGCCACAGCACGCGCGUCCCGCUGCGCCCCGCGAGCCCCGGGGUCUAUGGAGCGGCCCCUCCGUGCCGCCCGGCCGGCCCCACGCCGCGCCCGGAGCCUGCUCUGCGGCCAAGUAACCGGACUGGCUGUCCUGCGGGGGAUCAGGAGACCAGGACACCUGGGCCCCGCGUGUCGCGUGUCGAGUCCAUCCUGGGGGUGUCCUGGGCAGAGACUGUGGCGGCUGCGUCCGGGGCUGGGGCUCGCGCGCCGGGGUCUUCAGGGAGGAAGUUGUGGUCGUGGGGAUGUGGCGGCCCGGACACGUGGCGCCACCCCGAGGGGCUGGGGGAA
rnacentral:lncRNA from 13 species